GAUGAACGCUGGCGGCGUGCCUAAUACAUGCAAGUCGAGCGAACAGACGAGGAGCUUGCUCCUCUGACGUUAGCGGCGGACGGGUGAGUAACACGUGGAUAACCUACCUAUAAGACUGGGAUAACUUCGGGAAACCGGAGCUAAUACCGGAUAAUAUAUUGAACCGCAUGGUUCAAUAGUGAAAGACGGUUUUGCUGUCACUUAUAGAUGGAUCCGCGCCGCAUUAGCUAGUUGGUAAGGUAACGGCCUACCAAGGCAACGAUGCGUAGCCGACCUGAGAGGGUGAUCGGCCACACUGGAACUGAGACACGGUCCAGACUCCUACGGGAGGCAGCAGUAGGGAAUCUUCCGCAAUGGGCUAAAGCCUGACGGAGCAACGCCGCGUGAGUGAUGAAGGUCUUCGGAUCGUAAAACUCUGUUAUUAGGGAAGAACAAAUGUGUAAGUAACUAUGCACGUCUUGACGGUACCUAAUCAGAAAGCCACGGCUAACUACGUG
rnacentral:rRNA from 1 species